rnacentral:ncRNA from 1 species
UACAGAAAAAGGCAAACUUGUUGAAAAACUAGGACGCAAAGUCACGGAUCUAAGGUGCGAUGUACUAUGAUGGCCGGACUGCCUGG